AUGACAUUCUCCCAAUCCUCUUCUGGAUCAUCCAUACAGUCUCUGGCAAACUUCAGACGGGCCUGGACACAAGCGGCAACACCACCGACUCUCUUCCCAUUGGUCGAGUGCCUUUCUGGGUCCAAAGAUACGCUCACAGUCGGCUGUCUUGCACACGGCUUCUCACCAAAGAGCAUAUCUUUCACGUGGAGUGACGCCAGUGGGGCGAGUCUGACUUCAGUACCAUAUCCUCCAACUCAGGCAAACAACAAAUACAUAGGAGUCAGUGUGGUCAAUGUGUCCAAAUCUGACUGGGAUUCGAGGAAGUCUUUUACAUGUUCAGUAACACAUGCUGGAUCUCCCCAAAGUCUGCAAGUACAAAGGCCUCUUCCUCCUUCCACUAAAGUGACUUUGCUCUCGGUGCCUAGUGAAGACACCCAGACUCUGGUCUGCACAGUCGAAGACAGUGUUAAAGGAACACUUCAAUCAUUUGAAUGGAAAAAGAGCAACGUAGAGCUGAACAACUACUUCCACAGUCCCAUCCAACAGGUUGGAAAGUUAUAUUCAGCUGUCAGUGUCCUGAAAGUCAAGAACACAGACUGGGACAGUGAAGCGGUUUAUAGCUGUAAGGUCACUUACAGAGGAACCACAUACAUUAAAAAGGCCUCGAAAGCUCUGAUCACAAUGACCCUGACACCACCGAGUCCCAAAAGAAUUUUCAAUAACAACAUAGCUGAGCUGGACUGUGUCGUCAAUGGACAAGACAAGGCCACAGUUGAUAAAACCGAAAUCACAUGGCAAAUCGAUGGCCAAAAUGUGACUGAUCGCAUUACUGAAGCAAGAAAGUCCGAAGGCAGACAACACAGCAAAAUCAGCACAAUGACUCGUAAUUACGCGGAGUGGCAGAAUGUCAACAACGUGCGCUGUUCUGCUCAUGGAGAAGAUAUGACUCCAGUCAUUCAAGAUCUGACUGUCCAAAAAGGAGAUGGAAGACAACCAAAAGUGACGGUGCACAUGCUUCCCGACGAAAGCAUCAACCAAGGAAACUCGGUGGAGGUCACCAUGAUGUGUCUGGUCUCCAGUCCAGUGCUGGCGGAUUACUACAUCACAUGGGCUGAUCAUGUGGGACAACAAUCUGGCAACUAUGUUGAUGGCAUCAACUUCCCCUUGCAGAAGACAAUGAAUGGCUACAUGGUAGCAAGUGUUUACACCACCACCAAGAAAAAGUGGGAACAGAAGACCAUUUUCUACUGCAAUGUCUGGCCCGCUGGCAGCAAUGAGUCCAUGAAGCCAGUGGGAGUGUCUAAGGAUAUGGAUUUGUCAUCAGAGUCAGAUCUGAAUUUGCCUCUGAGCUGCUCAGAAGACCACACUGAGGAGGAUGAAUUCAGCAGUCUGUGGUCCACAACCUGCUCCUUUAUAUUUCUCUUCAUAUCCUCUCUCUUCUAUAACAUGAUAUUCAGCUUGGUCAAGGUAAACAUGCAGGCUCUCCCUGAUUUUAGUAAGUUCUAA